UACGUAGGGACCGAGCGUUGUCCGGAAUCAUUGGGCGUAAAGAGCGUGUAGGCGGCCACUUAAGUCCUGCGUGAAAUCUUGCGGCUCAACCGCAAGCGGUCGUGGGAAACUGGGUGGCUAGAGUGCGGUAGGGGAGACUGGAAUUCCUGGUGUAGCAGUGAAAUGCGUAGAUAUCAGGAGGAACACCGAUGGCGAAGGCAGGUCUCUGGGCUGACACUGACGCUCAUGCACGAAAGCGUGGGGAGCAAACAGG
rnacentral:rRNA from 1 species